rnacentral:rRNA from 1 species
AGAGUUUGAUCCUGGCUCAGGACGAACGCUGGCGGCGUGCUUAACACAUGCAAGUCGAACGAUGAAGCCCAGCUUGCUGGGUGGAUUAGUGGCGAACGGGUGAGUAACACGUGAGUAACCUGCCCUUGACUCUGGGAUAAGCGUUGGAAACGACGUCUAAUACCGGAUACGAGCUUCCACCGCAUGGUGAGUUGCUGGAAAGAAUUUUGGUCAAGGAUGGACUCGCGGCCUAUCAGCUUGUUGGUGAGGUAAUGGCUCACCAAGGCGACGACGGGUAGCCGGCCUGAGAGGGUGACCGGCCACACUGGGACUGAGACACGGCCCAGACUCCUACGGGAGGCAGCAGUGGGGAAUAUUGCACAAUGGGCGAAAGCCUGAUGCAGCAACGCCGCGUGAGGGACGACGGCCUUCGGGUUGUAAACCUCUUUUAGCAGGGAAGAAGCGAAAGUGACGGUACCUGCAGAAAAAGCACCGGCUAACUACGUGCCAGCAGCCGCGGUAAUAC